CCUACGGGGGGCAGCAGUGAGGAAUAUUGGUCAAUGGACGAGAGUCUGAACCAGCCAAGUAGCGUGAAGGAUGACUGCCCUAUGGGUUGUAAACUUCUUUUAUAUGGGAAUAAAACGUUCCACGUGUGGGAUUUUGUAUGUACCAUAUGAAUAAGGAUCGGCUAACUCCGUGCCAGCAGCCGCGGUAAUACGGAGGAUCCGAGCGUUAUCCGGAUUUAUUGGGUUUAAAGGGAGCGUAGGUGGAUUGUUAAGUCAGUUGUGAAAGUUUGCGGCUCAACCGUAAAAUUGCAGUUGAAACUGGCAGUCUUGAGUACAGUAGAGGUGUGCGGAAUGCGUGGUGUAGCGGUGAAAUGCUUAGAUAUCACGAAGAACUCCGAUUGCGAAGGCAGUUCACUGGACUGCAACUGACACUGAGGCUCGAAAGUGUGGGUAUCAAACAGGAUUAGAUACCCGUGUAGUC
rnacentral:rRNA from 1 species